rnacentral:rRNA from 1 species
UACGAGUGCUCCAAGCGUUAUCCGGAAUCAUUGGGCGUAAAGGGUGUGUAGGCGGUUGUGGUAGUCUUUUGUUAAAUUCUUCGGCUUAACCGGGGGCAUGCGAAAGAAACGGCACAACUAGAGGAUGCGAGAGGUGAAUGGAACUCAUGGAGUAGGGGUGAAAUCCGUUGAUAUCAUGGGGAACACCAAAAGCGAAGGCAAUUCACUGGCGCACUCCUGACGCUGAAACACGAAAGCGUAGGUAGCGAAUGGG